UUUUUUUUUUUUUUUUUUUUUUUUGGGUUUUCCAUGGGACCCUGAAAGUUUGAACUAAAUGCGUUCUGAGUGCCCUUCCAGCCUUGACAGUCUAUGAAUAGAAUUCCACUUUUGGCUCCAAGCCUAAUCCUCCCGGCACCAGGACUGCAGUGACAAACAAUAGCUGUUCAGAUGGUGGCAGCUGCCGAGAGCGCUCCAGACAGACUGUGGUUAAAUGCAGUCUUGGAACACCACCUAAAUAAAGACAGCACAGCACUGCAGAGGAUCCCUGCACUCAGGGUCUAAAGCUCGGAGUGGGGAUGGGGAAAGGACGCUGAGGGAUAACUGUAGGAAAACUUGCAGGUUUGCAUGGCAGUCUGUAUUUUGAGAUUGGGGUUGGGGGCUAGCAAUGCCCAACCUCACUGCCUAUGUUUCCAAGGGUGCUCUUCUUGCCUGGGUUUUGUGGGCUUUCCGUCCUGACUCAACUUCUGAAGGGUCAGGGUAGAAGCAAGCAUGCUGUGAGGGUCUGGUUGCCGCUUAGCAUUAGCACUUAUUUUCCAGGUGACUGAUUUUUAAAAUUAGCAGAAUUCGUACGAUUUCCAUUUCACCUGUUGGAAAAUGAGUCUUAGAUGUUUGAACAGGAAAAUACUGUCCUUGUUCUAGUUUCUGUCCCUUCUUCUCCUGUAGUGUCCUCUGUCUGCCCAUCAUGUGUCCGGGCUUCAGGACCUUAGCAGUGAUCUUUGUAAAUUGCAGCGAACAGCCUUGUUCUGAGUACAUUUUCACUCUGUUAAAGCUAGUUGGGUACCAUUCUGUAGACAAGAAUGUCCCAUGAAGGGUGAGCUCAUCUUGAGAUCUUCAGAGACUGUUUUUCCAAAUAAGGUCAUAGUCACAGAUUUCAGGUUGGACAUAUCUUUUUGGGGCCAUGCCACCAUUCAAUAGGUGCCAUUUAAAAGGCAUUUCCAAAAAGAAAGGAAAUAUGUCGUUAAAUGGAAACUGAUACAGCCCUUCAGAUCAUUUUCCUUUAUGUUGAAAAGACCACAUUUCACUUUUGUUCUGGCAGGGUUUAAUGAUGUUGGUCAGUCGUUGCAGAUUUGUCAGGAAAAUUCCAGGAGAUGUUUUAGGCUUUAAUAAGUAACUUCAGAGCAGUUGGAAUUUUCACACAGGCUCUCCUGGACAUUUCUUUGAAGUAAUUUCUGCAACAUUAAUUAUGAUUCUUCAGUAAUGUUUCUCUCUCCUAAGUCCAUAGUUCUGUUGCAUUUUUCUAUAUCUCAAGUGGUGGUUUUUGAGCAAUGGACAGUAUACUUUGUUCUAGAAAAUGGCCAGUGGGGAUAGUUACAGUGACUUAAAGUUCACUGUUUAGAAAAUAUUAUUAAAAUAUGAAGGCAUGGAUUUUUUUCAAUUUCUGUAAGCUCUUGGCUCAAAACAGUUGGCGUGGGAUUGCCAGAUCAGCUGGAAACCUGAAAUUGUAUGAGCUGGGGCCUCACAGAAAAUUCUAGUUUAGUGGCUCUGCUGUGGGGGUGGCAAGGAAGUGGGUUCAGUCAGUCAUUUCUCGUGAUCCUGAUGCUCCCCUCUGGUUGAAAAAGGUUGGAGCCACGGAGACUUCUAAAUUCUAAACACUUUCUUUGGUAAAACCUCUAGUUCCAAUUCUGCUGCUAACUCUGACCUUCAUAAUUUAACAUUCCUGGACCAUAUUUCCUUGACCAUUAUUUCUAAGUUCAGGAUUUAGGCUGGAAGAUUUUAAAACACCCUUUGGCUCUAGCAACCUUAGUUUUUCUACAGUGAGAGGACAUCUUAGCAUAUAUGAAACAUUUCAAUUUUGUUUCAAAAACAUUAAAAAUUGUGAAAGAUUUGGCACUGCAAUAUUUAUUUCUAAGUUUUUUUAUAUUUUUAUAUACAUGACCAGAUGUUGCAUAGUUUUUAAAAAAUCAUCUGAGACUUUACAGCCUGAGGUUAGUGUUUCUACUGAUAAAUAUUUCCAUGUCCUUUCACGCUGACUUUUACAAUAUUUUAAUGUUUCCUUUAAAUAAUAUACUCAUUAAUAUAAAAGUAUAUGACAUAAAAGUGAAGGUGCCUUCCUCUCUUCCCUUCUGCUUUGGCCCACCUGUUCCCAGAAGUAACUACAGGUCAUAAUUUGGUGUUUAACCUUUCACGAAGGGGUGUACACAUAUUACAUAUUGUCUAUAGGUAUACACAUGCACACACACACACAGUGUUUUAGGGGUUUGUAGUGCUUGUCUAAAAGUUGCUUGAGCAAUACGUUUUACAUUGUACUUACUGGGGUGUUACACAUGUUUUAUUCUAAUGGUCCUUGGUGUUGCUGGUGAUUAAAGCAAACACCAAGGACCAUUACGAUAAAACGCCUGUAACAUACAUACUAAGUGGAAUGUCUUAGGAGCAAGGCCUGCUAAAGUAGGGCUUGAACAUAGGAAGGGAAAAAUAGAAUUUCCAGAUCACAACUACUGAAGAAAUUACUCUGUCCACACUGAAGAUGCUUAAGAUUUAAAUUAGCCUUUUAUAUGUGUAUCUCAGAGGGACAUAUUUGGGGAAGACUUUCUGAAAAAGAAGUUGAGUAGCAGAGUACAGGCUGAAUAAGUGGGUGAUUUUGAGCUAGUAAACCAUAUGACUUCAUUACUGCUUAUAAACAUACAUUUCAUUAGUUUUUAAUUUUAACAAGAGAUCACCAGGAGCGAAAAAUGUAAACUGGUAAAAUGAUGGGGUUUUUUUGGUUUUUUUUUUAAGUCAUUGUUAAACACAGAGACUGUUGAUUUUUAGGUGUUUAGCUGAAGCUGUAAACUAACAACAGCAAACCCGGCUUCCUUAUCCCCGGAUGAGCCCAUUAAGGAGACUAGUAACAGGGAGGGGAUGGAAGGAAUGGGACCUUAUGGAGCAGGAUCAGCAUGUCAGCAUCUUGGAAAUUUUUGCUUGUUUCACUGUUUGGAGUUAAGACAGAUGCUUUUAUAGAAUUUGGAUUUGGAUAAAUGUAUUUGCUAUUGAAUUACUGCUUCCAUUCUUAACCACAGAAACAGUUUUUGACCACCGAGAUGUUCAAGUUUUGGGUUUUGACAACUAUAACUUGAAAUUGGAAAUUCCAUAGAUGAGUCGUGAUUAUUUGCAUUCAGCGUUUCAGCCUCACCAGCUACUAUUUCCAGGGCUAGGUGACCGCACCUGCUGGGGGCUACUGUGUCGGACCGUGCAAAUUGUAGAAUGUGAACGCAGUCACAGAAAGUUCCGUUGCACAGUGCUUCUCUAGAACACAUGUUGCUGUAGUUCAUGCAUUACUAUAAAAAAAAAAAAAAAAAAAGCAAAAGGAUGAAACAGCCAAAAGAGUUGCAGGCAUUAGAGGAGAAUUACCAGAGGAAUGGGAGAUGUAGAUUAGGUGAGCAGACCUUUGUUUUCUUCCUUGAUCAUUCUGCUUCCUCUGCUGUUUUCAAGCAGACUAUUUGGGAAAUGAUUCAAAGUAAAUAUCCUGCCCAGCAAGGUGAACAUACGACCACCCAGCUUUUUUUUUAGAACCAGAACCUUUUCUUUUACAGUGUUAGUUCUUAUAAAACUCCCUACUGCAGAUUACAAGUUAUUUUCUCUCUCAAUGCAGUUAGACUUCAAUCCUAUUCAGAAAUUCUUUUUUUUUUUCCCCUUCUCCAGUUGCAUGUGUAGUAUGAUUUUUCAACCCUUUUUUGCAGAACCAAAGCCUUCUAUCCCUCCCUGGUGUCUCUCAUUCUUAAUGUGGCCGUAAGACUCUGGAUUUAUCCACCUCCCAUCUCACCCCUUUGCUGGGUAACAUUGAGUAAGCAACUUAAUCUCUGAGCCUGUAAAAAUAUUAGUUUAUUUAUUAUGGUGCAGGUAUUGCUACCUAUAUUCAUAUGGAUUGAGUGAGAUAAUAUGUUUAUUUUUUUAAUUUUUCUUUUUCUUUUUUUAGGGCUGCACCUGCAGCUUAUGGAAGUUCCCAGGCUAGGGGUCAAAUCAGAGCUGCAGCUGCCAGCCUACGCCACAGCCACAGCCACGCCAGAUCCUUAACCCACUGAGCGAGGCCAGGGAGCGAAUCCACAACCUUGUGGAUACUAGUCAGGUUCAUUUCUGCUGAUCCACAGAGGGAACGCCAAGAUAAUACAUUUCAAGCUCAUAAUAGAACAUGUUGGCAUUUAAGCCAGCCAUCCCAAAACUCAGUGGCUUAAAGCAGCCACCAUAAUUUGGUUGAGGAUUCCAGGCUUGGCUGCUCUCUGAUGCAGUGAUGCUCACUUGGCUGGAGGCUGGCUGGUCCUGCAUGGCUUCACUCGCAUAUUGGCCGGUGACUUGGUUGUCUGUUGGAACAACAGGGAUGACCAGACUGCAAGUGUCCUAACAUCCAACCAAGGUCAAACUUCCCUGGAAUAUAGACCCCUCCUGAAGGACCUUUCUCUGGGUGGACCCUACACUCUUGUCUAGCUUAGUGUAUUUUGAAUGAAGUCUUUGCCUUCUGGACAUUGUCCUUGUUUCUUGAAAAUCAGACUCUGCCUUAAUCAUCUCUGCAUUCCGAGUGGAUAGCACAGAAUGGUUGGAUGAAUACGGAAAUACAGUUCUGCCUAUGUGAACUGUCUCAUUAUCCUCACCUACUAAUCCUUGGAGUUCAUCUUUAUGUGCUGCCUACUUUGUGAAGUCCAUUUGCUCUCUUGAACUUUGAGAAUUUUAGAGAUGGCUUCUGGUAUGGAUUUAUAAGAAACAUCAAAGAGUAAAAUCUUACAUUAAAGCAUUAUAGUUAAUCGAACAUUCUCUCUUAUAUCUGUGUUAAAAUAGCAUAGGAAAGCUGUGAGGAGUUUUCAGCGAUGUUCAUAAAAACAGGAACGUUUGGUUUCUUGGUUUUACAUACAUGUAUGUGGUAAACUCGUAGUUGUGAAUCCGUGAGAAGCUGUAUUUUCUCUCAGCCCUCCUACAUGUAUAAUAGGAUCGGUCUCCAGAAUGGGUGGUUUUUUAGGCCAAGGAAAGGUUUUGUCUUUUCUCAUUUCUAUUUUUAAUUUAAUGGAGCUCCGCCGAAAAGAAGGAUAAAACAUAAAGGUAAAAGAAGCAACAUUUACAUAUGCCUUUUUCUCCUUUUACCCACUCCAUUUUAUUCUCUAGCCUGCUUUGGGGAAGCUGUUAAGUAAAUAAUGAUUAACUAUUGCUGGUUUUCUUUUUUCUUAAACUUCACUUAAGUCACGGUUCAGAGUUUGUGAAGGGUUGGAAAUACCAUAAUGCAGUGACUUAGGCAGUGUGGUGUGAUGGAGAGGGGGACCCCCCCCCCAAAAAACACCUCACAUCUGGGCCCCAGGGAAACUAAAUUCCAAUCUUGGGCUUUGAUAAGGACUUAUUGGUGAAUUGAAACAACUUAAUUUUUCUUUGGCUGAGGUUGUUCCGUUUGAUAAUCUUGAAGGCUUCGCUCCAUUUUUAACAUACUGUACUGUUUCUAUGAAGUAUAGAUCCUUCUGGGAUUUAGUAAUAAUCAAUACAGAUGAGCGCCACUGUUUAAAAUGAAAGAAAAUGGAUGUAUAUACUAGAUAUUUAAAACCUACAGGCUUAAGCCAUGUGUAUAGGAAGGGUGUACUUUGGAUACAUGUUUGAAAAUAGGUGUUUGUCAGGCAGGCAAGGUGGAAGGAUUAGUAGGAUUGAGAAGUGCAAGAUGAUGGAGGCGAAAAUGAGUGUGACAUGCAUAAUGAAUUCUGCAGCUCCCUUGGUGUGCCUGGCAUGCGGGAUGUCUGAAUAGCACUUCCGUGAGGGGCAGCUCCCAGUGCAGUUGACUGAUGUAGGGUGAAGCGUAUCUCCAAAGGGUAUGCUCCUCCUUCAUUAGGAAAUUGUGUUUUCUCUUCUGGAUUCAUUUUGUAUGGAAAUUCCACAAGAAACACUCAUUUCCCCUUCUCUUGAGGACUGGCAGCAGCUCACGCCACCCACUGCACUGCCCCCCCUUGGUGAUGGCCUUGGGGACCAGAAAACUGAUGCUUUGUGAAAUGUCUUUUUUUUGGGGGGGGUCUUUUUAGGCCUGCACCCGUGGCAUAUGAAGGUUCCCAGCUGUAGCUGCCGGCCUACCCCACAGCCACAACAGUGCCAGAUCCCAGCUGCGUCUGCGACCUACACCACAGCACACGGCAAUGUCGGAUCCUUAACCCACUGAGCGAGGCCAGAAAUUGAAUCCUCAUCCUCGUGGAUACUAGUUGGAUUCGUUACCGCUGAGCCACAACCGGAAUUCCUGAAAUAUCUUAAGUGUCGUAUAAAUUGUGACAGCACAUGAGGCCAUGGUCAGCUCACCUCUGGAUCUGCAUCUCCCUUGGUUAGAGUCAAUCAAUACUUAUACUCUGUCUCCUCUUCGUGAAGGAAAUUCCUCCCAGGUCCACUUCCUGCCUUUCUUGGAGGAGUACAUCCUCCUUAAACUUCUCUGCCUGUGGCCUCUGGGGUAUCUGGUUCUCCUCCAGCCCUGGCUUCUUAGGCUUCCCGAUGGUUCCUACAUGCUGAGCUCAGGCCCUGACCUGAAUGAGAUCAGGCUGCCCUGUCCUUUAUUUUUUGGUAGGCCCACCAUUCCUGUUCUCUGUAUUCUCUUCUGUACCUGGGGUGUAACCUAGUCUGUCUCUGCCUUUGGCGACUUCCCUGCACUUCAGACCUGUGCCUCUAGACGUCUGCUGGACGCCACCCUCACCUGGGUCACCGGUCACAGUGCCCUGACACGUCUUGCCUGUGAAUGCAUGUCAAGUGGUUUUCUCUGAGCUCCUGUAUAAGCUGUACAUUUUUAUCAUGUCCAAGUGUAGUGUAGUUUAUGUACCUCUCUUACUCCAAGAGUAUUUUUAAUUCUACUCUUCUAUGGUUUUAAGAAAUGCGUGUGUUCGCACAUUUAAGUGUUUCUUUAAGGUAAUAGAGGUAUAGCAGGAUAACCAGGAUAUAUAAGAAAGGCAGUCUUGUGGGCUUUGAAGUUUACCAAAAAAGACUUGCAGAUGAGUGACUGUCGUGUCUGGGGAGAUGUCGUGAUAGAGCAAGUGACAGAGCUUGGGAAACCCAGCAGCACGACCCCAGGCUAGGCCUGUCACAGGAGGCCUCAGAUAUGACGUUUAAGCCGAGAGAGUGGAGGAGUGGAUGAGAGUAGCUGAGCAAAAAAAUGGAUGAAAAGGGAAUAUUGGGAUUCAUUGCAUUUGCAUGACGUUAAUAUUUCAUUUGAGUUAUGAGAGAAUUAAUUUUAAGUAUGGAGAGCAUGCAGAUAAUUCCAAACCUAGGAGAUGGUCAGGUUUGCUUUUUGUCUUUGUAUUGAAUUAGUGCUGUGGGUGGGAAGUUCAUCUUAUUAGCAGUCUGGUGUGCUGUAAGUAACCUGUGAAGUGAGGAACUGGACUUGCUAAUGGAUUUUUAUUUAUGCGCCACAGACAUUUAUUUGCUGAUGGAAAUCCCGAAAUGAAUGAUUAUAUUCUACAGAAGCAGAAUACUGUUUUGCUGUGGCCUCUUGUGAUGCUACCAUUAACAAGUUUUGGGUGGCCAGGCACAUGAGGACAAUUAGAUGGGACCAAUGACAGUGGUUUCCUGUCACUUUUGCACUACGUAAAACCACAUUCGGAAAGGGUAGUAAACUUUUGAUGGGGGGAAAAAAGGAUUAACUUUAGAAGGUUUUUAACUGAUGAAAAUCAAGCUCGUGCCACAGUAAGCAACAUUUUCACACCAUUAAGCAUUGUGAAGCAUUUUCCUUGAACUUCUUUUAAUUUCUAAGUGUGGUUUGAGAAGAACCCCCGUUUCAAGCUUACAGUAUAUUCUUUCGUUGUCCUUAUGAAAAAGAUAGCGUUGCUUCAUUGAGUUCUGGGGAAGAUAAUGUUGAUGGAGAUUGUUCGUGACUCGGAUUGAAUGAAAACACAAACCUUUCAUUUAUACAUUUAGAAAACUUUUUGAAUAGCCUUUAAUUGGUAGUUUUGUGAAAUUAGGAUAAUAGGAGAAGAUCAGUUAGAAUGAUAAAAUCUGGGAGUUCCCAUUUGGCGCAGCAGAAAGGAAUCCCACUAGUAUCCAUGAGGAUGCAGAUUUGAUCCCUGGCUCCUGGCCUCCCUCACUGCGUCAGAGAUCUGGCCCUGAUCUGUGGUGUAGGUCACAGACAGGGCUCAGAGCCCCAGUUGCUGUGGCUGUGGUGUAGGCCAGCAGCUGUAGCUCCGAUUUGACCCCUAGCCUG
rnacentral:lncRNA from 1 species